CCAGACUCCUACGGGAGGCAGCAGUGGGGAAUAUUGCACAAUGGGUGAAACCCUGAUGCAGCGACGCCGCGUGAGCGAUGAAGUAUUUCGGUAUGUAAAGCUCUAUCAGCAGGGAAGAAAAUGACGGUACCUGACUAAGAAGCCCCGGCUAACUACGUGCCAGCAGCCGCGGUAAUACGUAGGGGGCAAGCGUUAUCCGGAUUUACUGGGUGUAAAGGGAGCGUAGACGGCGGUGCAAGCCAGAUGUGAAAGCCCGGGGCUCAACCCCGGGACUGCAUUUGGAACUGUGCUGCUAGAGUAUCGGAGAGGCAGGCGGAAUUCCUAGUGUAGCGGUGAAAUGCGUAGAUAUUAGGAGGAACACCAGUGGCGAAGGCGGCCUGCUGGACGAUGACUGACGUUGAGGCUCGAAAGCGUGGGGAGCAAACAGGAUUAGAUACCCCCGUAAUA
rnacentral:rRNA from 1 species